AUGAUCCACACGGGCGAGAAGCCGCACAAGUGCGCCGUGUGCGGGCAGGCCUUCAUACAGAAGUGCGCGCUCAACCGCCACAUGAAGGUUGGUUGUAUGGUACACUGCUACUAACUAUAGGUCAGGACCUGCGCAACCACCGCAUGAUCCACACGGGCGAGAAGCCGCACAAGUGCGCCGUGUGCGGGCAGGCCUUCAUACAGAAGUGCGCGCUCAACCGCCACAUGAAGGUUGGUUGUAUGGUACACUGCUACUAACUAUAGGUCAGGACCUGCGCAACCACCGCAUGAUCCACACGGGCGAGAAGCCGCACAAGUGCGCCGUGUGCGGGCAGGCCUUCAUACAGAAGUGCGCGCUCAACCGCCACAUGAAGGUUGGUUGUAUGGUACACUGCUACUAACUAUAGGUCAGGACCUGCGCAACCACCGCAUGAUCCACACGGGCGAGAAGCCGCACAAGUGCGCCGUGUGCGGGCAGGCCUUCAUACAGAAGUGCGCGCUCAACCGCCACAUGAAGGUUGGUUGUAUGGUACACCGCUACUAACUAUAGGUCAGGACCUGCGCAACCACCGCAUGAUCCACACGGGCGAGAAGCCGCACAAGUGCGCCGUGUGCGGGCAGGCCUUCAUACAGAAGUGCGCGCUCAACCGCCACAUGAAGGUUGGUUGUAUGGUACACUGCUACUAACUAUAGGUCAGGACCUGCGCAACCACCGCAUGAUCCACACGGGCGAGAAGCCGCACAAGUGCGCCGUGUGCGGGCAGGCCUUCAUACAGAAGUGCGCGCUCAACCGCCACAUGAAGGGCCACCGCGCUGAGCCACGCCUGCCGUUGCCGCACGCCUACCCCGACCGUCUGCCGUGGCCACUGGACGACCGUCUGGCCAACUAGCGCCACCCAGCGGCCACCGCCACUGUGCCGUCCUCAAACUGAGGCCACAGUGACUCGGCUGCACCGCAAAUUAGCGCCAAUGCGCCGCUGUCACUAGUGACAUAGCUGCCACUACCACUGCUAUUGUUGAACGAUUUUGAAACGUCAAAUGGCAGAGAUCGAAAAUAGUAACCCGGCAUUGAUGGCAGCGCCCUCCUGCAAAUAACAUUUCAGUGUUUUCCAACGUAGCAAAAAUCCAGCGGCCACCGCCACUGUGCCGUCCUCAAACUAAGGCCACAGUGGCACGGCUGCACCGCAAACUAGCGCUACUGCGCCGCUGUCAAACUGAAGCUAUAACCAGUGACAUGGCUGCCACACCCACUGCUAUAGUUGAACGAUUUUGAAACGUCAAAUGGCAAAGAUCGGAAAUAGUAAUCCGGCAUUGAUGGCAGCGCCCUCCUGCAAAUAACAUUUCAGUGUUUUCCAACGUAGCAAAAAUCCAGCGGCCACCGCCACUGUGCCGUCCUCAAACUGAGGAUCACAGUGGCACGGCUGCACCGCAAACUAGCGCUAAUGCGCCGCUGUCAAACUGAAGCUGUCACUAGUGACACGGUUGCCACACCCACUGCUAUAGUUGAACGAUUUUGAAACGUCAAAUGGCAAAGAUCGGAAAUAGUAACCAGGCAUAGAUGGCAGCGCCCUCCUGCAAAUAACAUUUCAGUGUUUUCCUACGUGGCAAAAAUCGGAACCAGCGAUCCGGUAUUGACGGUGGCGCCCCCCUGUCAAUGUCACGGGUGAGACGGUUCAGUGUAGUUCAUCUAUACGACCGACGAUUGCGUCUUCAAACUGGGAGCCUAUAAGCUGCUGCACGCCUGUCCUGGCGCUGGAUGAAGCCCUGGCCAACUAGCGCCACCCAGCGGCACGGCGUCAAACUGAAGCUGUCACCAGCGAUAUGGUUGCCACGCCCAGUGAAGCGCGCGAACGUUUUCAAACUAAGAACCUGAGCACAUUUAAUGCCACACGCCUAUUCAGACUGCCUGCUCUGGAAGCUAGACGAACAACUUGCCACUAAGUGUCACCCAACGUAAGAAUCUUCUACAGUCGGCGACUGCUUUGCCAACUAGUCGGUAAACUGAAGUUACAAUAAAAGAUGUGGGUUCUAGGCGGGAGAAUACGUGGCGUGGUGAGUACAGUAUCGCGUUCAAAACACAUUUAGGUCACUCCUUAUGUAGUCGCAUUUUCCAGAUAAGAUUUUGGACGUUUGUACUCGUAUAAGAAAAGGACUUGAUUAAGAAUUUAACAUUAUUCGUUCGUUAUCGUAUCGCUAUCAUGCUCAGGGAUGACUAUAGUCACACCCGCUCUAUUCUUGUACUUAUAGAUCACGCUAAUAGUUUAUGAACGGCUUAAGGAAGCUAAGAAUAAAGAUUUUUAUGUGAAGUGUGGUGUUUUGUACAUUCGAUAAUAUGUAUGAUACACAUGUGACGAUGCAAAGGGGGCUUUAGGGAUACUUUUUAAAUUUCAUAAGAUUAUUAUGAGCAAUUUUCCAACAAAUCUCGGAAGGACUGGAGUCCAUUAGAUUAGAUUGUAUAAGUGUUUGUUAUGUAGUAUUGUAUUAAGAUAAGAGAAUUUAUUAUAUUCAUCUUAAUGGUUAUCAGUUUGUGAGUCUUUUGCAUGGGCAUCUGUCUGCUUCAUUAGAAAGUACAGCAACAUUACAAACUUUUUCUAGUGAUGUUGCUGCCUUAUUUUAUUGGGCAAAUAUUGGGUUUAUGUAAAAACUUCCACUUUUCUGGACUGAUUUUUUAAAAUAAGAUCUUUCAAUUAACUUCUGUGAUAAAUGUGAAACAUGGCUCUCAGCCACCUCAUAUUUAGUUCUAAUUUAACUGUAAAUAAAUUUCACUUUAUGCUACAAA